AUUGAACGCUGGCGGCAGGCCUAACACAUGCAAGUCGAGCGGAGCGGCGGACGGGCGAGUAAUGCCUAGGUAUCUGCCUGGUUGUGGGGGAUAACGUCCGGCAACGGGCGCUAAUACAUCAUACUAUCCGAUGAGCCUGGGUCGGAUUAGCUAGUUGGUGGGGUAAAGGCCUACCAAGGCGACGCACCGUACCUGGUCUGAGAGGAUGAUCAGCCACACUGGAACUGAGACACGGUCCAGACUCCUACGGGAGGCAGCAGUGGGGAAUAUUGGACAAUGGGCGAAAGCCUGAUGCAGCCAUGCCGCGUGUGUGAAGAAGGUCUUCGGAUUGUAAAGCACUUUAAGUUGGGAGGCGUUACCAACAGAAGAAGCACCGGCUAACUUCGUGCCAGCAGCCGCGGUAAUUC
rnacentral:rRNA from 1 species